CUCAUUUUCAGCCCAAUUUUAACUGAUGAGGCAGCUUAUUGAAAUUGGAACGUCACAGAGAAGAUUGGGAUGACAAACUAGAUUUCCUUUUACAGAUGACGCACUUCACUGAAAUUAAAGCGUCACAGAGAUGUUUGGGAUGACGCAAAGUUUAUUUUUACUAAAACCGCAGCUUACUGAAAUUGCAACGUCACAGAGAAAAUUGGGAUGGCAUGCUAGAUUUUAUCUUUACAGGUGACGCAGGUGAUGUUUCUGAUGACGGAGAGUUAAUUUUUACUAAAACCGCAGCUUAUUGAAAUUGGAACCUCACAGAGAACGUUGGUAUGACACAGAAUCUAAUAUGCCAUCUCAAUCUUCUCUGUGACGUUCCAAUUUUAGACAGCUGCUUCAUCAGCUCAUUUUCAGCCCAUUUUUUGCUGAUGACGCAGCUUAUUGAAAUUGGAACGUCACAGAGAAGAUUGGGAUGGCACAGUAUGUAAUAUGCCAUCUCAAUCUUCGCUGUGACGUUCCAAUUUUGGACAGCUGCGUCAUGAGCUCAUUUUCAGUCCAUAUUUUGCUGAUGACGCAGCUUAUUGAAAUUGGAACGUCACAGAAAAGAUUGGGUUGGAAUACUAGAUUUAUUUUUAGUGGUCAUGCACUUCACUGAAAUUACAGCGUCACAGAUGUUUAGGAUGACGCAUUUACUAAAACCGAAGCUUAUUGAAAUUGGAACGUCACAGAGAAGAUUGGGAUGACACACUAGAUUUAAUUUUACAGAUGACGCACUUUACUCAAAUUAAAGCGUCACAGAGAAGAUUGGGAUGACAUUUUUCAUUAUUCAUUGUUCAUUUUCACUGAUGACGGAACUCACUGAAAUUGGAACGUCGCAGAGAAGUUUGUAAUGACGCAGAGUUUAUUUUUACUAAAACCGCAGCUUAUUGAUAUUGGAACGUCACAGAGAGGAUUGGGAUGACAUUUUUCAUUAUUCAUUGUUGAUUUUCACUGAUGACGGAACUCAAUGAAAUUGGAAUGUCGCAGAGAAGUUUGGGAUAACAAAGAGCUGUUUUUUUUUUUUAAUGAAGACACAGCUUUCUAAAAUUCGAAGGUUAAAGAGAAGAUUGGGAUGAUGCAGCGUUAAAUUUAAGUAAAACGCAGUUUAUUGAAAUUGGAAUUUCACGGACAAGAUGGGGACGAAACAGAGCUCAGAGUUUAUUAACUAAUACUGUAGACGCAAUUUGUUGAAAUUGGAACGUCACAGAGAAGACUGACGGGAUGACGAAGAAUUUAUUUUCACUGAUGAAACCGCUCAUAGAAAUCAGGGCAGAACGUCACAGAAAAGAUUGUGAUAAGAGCUCAUUUUUACUGAAACCGCAACUUACUUAAACUAGAACGUCACAGAGAAGAUCGGGAUGUCCCAGAGUUCAGAGUUUAUUUACUAAUACCCAAGACGCAGUUUGAUGAAAUUGGAAGGUUACAUGGAAAGUUGGGAUGACGAAAAAUUCAUUUUAUACAGAUGACGCCGUUCUGAAAUCGGAACGUCACAGAAAAGAUUGUGAUAAGAGAGAGCUCGUUUUUUCUGAAGACGCAAGUUUCUGAAAUUUGAAUGUUAAAGAGAAGAUUGGGAUGAUGCAGCGUUAAAUCUUACUAAAACGCAGAGUUCUAAAACGCAGAGUUCACUUUUACUAAAACCGUAGCUCAUUAAAAUUGGAAUGUCACAGAGAAGAUUGGGAUGACACAGAGCGUCCUGAGUUAAUUUUGAUAUCAGAACGAAGCAGAAAAGAUACAAGUGGUGCGUUAUGUAAGUGAUGCGUUAUGAAAACAUUGCAAACAAGGAAAGAGUACUAGUGGAACAACCACUGGCAUUAAGGCGGAUUAUGCGACAUAUGAAAUCACAGAAAGUAAAUAACAUUGAAUUUCUGAAAAAAAUAUUUAAUGAAAUACCAACUUUGCAUAAAAUUAUGUAAUACAUCAACUAGCUUAACAUUCGGAUGUCCUGGGCGAAAAUGAAAAUAAAGAGUAAUUUUGGGCAUUUUAAAGGCAUUUAGAGCUCAUUUUCAGGGGUAUAUGUCAAAUAUACGAUACAAAUAUUAAUUUCCAUUUUCUCAAAAAUAAAAAAAUAUGGAACGCUUCACGAAUUUGCGUGUCAUCCUUGCGCAGGGGCCAUGCUAAUCUUCUCUGUAUCGUUCCAAUUUUAGUAUAUGUCCCACCGAAGUGAGGACAUGUGGUUGAAAGCAAUCCGCUCAAUAUAUUGGACGUAAAUCCAAUAUGGCGGCUCAGAGCCUCCUAGCCUACAAAUUGUAUUCAACUGCACACCUUUAAUUGGCGCAUGCGUGCUUCCAUCUGGCGGGGGUCACGUGACAAUAACAAGCCAUGUUGGUAACAAAGAACAUUCGGACAAAGCCGUCGUAACGCAUCAAUUUGCAAAAAGAUGCACUGCUUCUUGGCAAGGUCACUUGCAAAGUCCACACUAGGAUUGCAUUGACAGUGCUCUGCCUUGUAUAUAUCGUAUGAAGGACAGGAUUUAUUGAUAAAAGAUCUACAUACCUUAAGUAAGAAGUAGGUCAAUCGGUUCACACCGUGUGACCCGGCAGAUUACAACAAAGACAAUACCAAAAUGGAGAAACGAUGAGGGGUACAACAAUGGUCAAGUUUUGGGCAAGGCAAUCGAUCGCAUACAUCAAGGUGCCCUUUACCAAGUCGUAUAUAAGGCAACCAUCGCUGUAAUGAGCCUAAGAAUUAGCUGAAAUUACACACUGUAUCAAUACGAGGUAGCCCUAACACUAACGUACAUGUACACAUUCACAGGAAUUCACCAUUUCGACUUGAGAGCUCAGGACCAUGAGAUGCAUUUGGAUGGCCGUUGCGGUAACAGAUCAUUACAGUGUACAUAAACAGGCAUUAUCACAAGGAAGAUCAAAGGAUGCAGAACGCUACAAAUUCCUACAAUGUAUAAACAUUUAAAGACAAGACAGAUCAAGACAGUGUAUUCGACCCUAUAGACUUGGAGGGCACCCAGUAGCCUUAGCUGCUACUCGUAAGAAGUCCGCCUAAAAAAAGAGAGAGAGAGAGACCAGCGGUAUAUCAGUAACUUACAUCAGUUGGAUAUAAAAGUUUUGACUCACAAUUAUCAUUAAUCAGGAUAAAAUGAUGGAGACAUCAAUAAAUCUUUUAAAUAUUUGA